rnacentral:rRNA from 1 species
GACGAACGCUGGCGGCGUGCUUAACACAUGCAAGUCGAACGGUGACCCAGGGCUUGCCCUGGUGAUCAGUGGCGAACGGGUGAGUAACACGUGGGCAACCUGCCCCUGACUUCGGGAUAACUCCUCGAAAGAGGAGCUAAUACCGGAUACGACCACUUCGGACAUCCGAUGGUGGUGGAAAGUUUUUCGGUCAGGGAUGGGCCCGCGGCCUAUCAGCUAGUUGGUGGGGUAAUGGCCUACCAAGGCGACGACGGGUAGCCGGCCUGAGAGGGCGACCGGCCACACUGGGACUGAGACACGGCCCAGACUCCUACGGGAGGCAGCAGUGGGGAAUAUUGCGCAAUGGGCGAAAGCCUGACGCAGCGACGCCGCGUGAGGGAUGAAGGCC